AUACUUUUGUUCGGAUCAAAUGCCAAAUCCUGAAUAAAAUUCACGCAUAAAGAGUUUUAUAAUAAUUCGUGUGAUGGAUUGAAAGCUGUAGUAUACAUAUACGAUAGUACCUACGAGUUUACCUCUGUUCGUCAAAGAAAAAAAUAAACAGUUGAUAUCUCGACUUGCCUGCAGUGUAUCCCAUGAGGAUUCAUUAAAAACGUGUUUACGUGAUCUAAAUUUGGAAUGAGCUAUGGGAUUUAUUUCGAUUUCUACUAGACAGUAUUGUCCUUGGAUAUAAUCAUCCCGUUCAAAUACUUCGACAUUGACGCAUUCGUCAAAGUUCCCGAGAUUGUACGUAGAUCCGUCAAACCAGCCAGUCGAUAUAAAUUUGGCAGACGCGUCAAACACUAAAAGCAAAUAGUAAACACGAAGUUCCCUGUAGAACGUACAAGGAAAGUUUUAAAUAUUGGUGGGAAUUUGCAUGCACAUAACAACAGUCAACGGUAAUUAUUAAGAGGACAUCGUAUCGGAUGCUGAGCCGAGUAGCAAUCAAAUUGGGUGCGAAACUCUAAAAUACGUUCUCGCGUUCUAUAAAUUAUAAUGAAAAUUCCCUGUAUAUAACAAUGAGAUUGUACUUACUAUUAGUUGUAUAUAAAAAUAUUAUUAUUGGGAAUUAU